rnacentral:rRNA from 1 species
CCUACGGGAGGCUGCAGUAGGGAAUCUUUCACAAUGGGCGAAAGCCUGAUGGAGCAACGCCGCGUGCCGGAUGAAGGCCUUCGGGUUGUAAACUGCUUUUAUAAGCGAGAAAUAUGAUGAUAACUUAUGAAUAAGGAUCGGCUAACUACGUGCCAGCAGCCGCGGUCAUACGUAGGAUCCGAGCAUUAUCCGGAGUGACUGGGUGUAAAGAGUUGCGUAGGUGGCAUAAUAAGUAGCUAGUGAAAUCUGGUGGCUCAACCAUUCAGACUAUUAGCUAAACUGUUAAGCUCGAGACCGUUAGGGGUAACUGGAAUUUAUGGUGUAGGAGUGAAAUCCGUAGAUAUUAGAAGGAACACCAAUAGCGUAGGCAGGUUGCUGGGACGGUUCUGACACUAAGGCACGAAAGCGUAGGGAGCAAACGGGAUUAGAUACCCCUGUAGUC